UAGGAACUGGAAGAAGAGGAGG
rnacentral:miRNA from 1 species